rnacentral:rRNA from 1 species
AUUGAACGCUGGCGGCGUGCCUAACACAUGCAAGUCGAACGAGUGGCGGACGGGUGAGUAAUGUCUGGGAAACUGCCCGAUGGAGGGGGAUAACUACUGGAAACGGUAGCUAAUACCGCAUACCAUCGGAUGUGCCCAGAUGGGAUUAGCUAGUAGGUGGGGUAACGGCUCACCUAGGCGACGAUCCCUAGCUGGUCUGAGAGGAUGACCAGCCACACUGGAAAUGAGAAACGGUCCAGACUCCUACGGGAGGAAGCAGUGGGGAAGAUUGAACAAUGGGCGCAAGCCGGAUGCAGCCAUGCCGCGUGUAUGAAGAAGGCCUUCGGGUUGUAAAGUACUUUCAGCGGGGAGGCGUUACCCGCAGAAGAAGCACCGGCGAACUCCGUGCCAGCAGCCGCGGUAAUAC